GUGUCAAUAAUGAUGUCUAUAAUAAUGAUGUGUCAUUAUUUUUAUUUAUUUAUUUAUUGAUUGUUUUUUUUAAAGAGGAAUAUAGUUUCAGUGAGACCUGAUGUCCUGUCUGGUGUGUUCCACUCUCCAGCGAUGGUUAAAUGAUCAUCAUUGAUUCUACAACAGCUGCAGUUGCACACAUAUGGUUAUGCAGAAAGCAUCAGCUGGACAGUAUGAGAGCAGCUUAUGGGAGCAGAGUCAGCUCUGUGGGGUCGCAGUGGCCAGUGAUGGUCAUCGUGCCCCAGGGAUUUGUGGUCCACUGUGGAAGAGAGAUCUAGCAGAAGUGUUACUGACCCCCACUCAGUCUGAAUGGAGCCAUCUACCAAUCCACGGCUGUCAAAAGAUCUUGGUCUGGUUAUCUGUUUCAAGAAAUCAGGCCCUUGAGAGUCCAUAUUGUCUUUAGUGUGAGUGAAUGUGUGUUUCUAUGCAGGUACAUGAUAAUCACUGGAGUCAAGAUGACUUUUUGAAAUAAUGGUCUCAGUUUACACUUCAAUAUGGCAGCCGUGUUCAACUGAUAAAGACUAUUGAUUAUACAUCUGUUCUGUACGGACUUCCUGUGGUGACGGCAAAUGGUUCUGCAUGCCUCCCUCUGCUGUUUAAUGAUAGUUUGGAACAUAAUCUUGAUUUUAUUGGUAAUUGAUAGAACCAUUUGAGAAAAAAUUCCACAGUUUGAUUUUGCGGCCGCUCACUCGGCUGAUUAAACUGCAUUGCUUUUGGCCACAUGUGCACUCGCUUUGAUUCCUAGACAUCUGUGGAUAAGCCCGAUCACCAGACUUAUAAAAUUGCCAUGGUCUUGAACUUUGCCUGACUCAGAUUAAGCCCCAGGCAAAAGUGCAUCCUCUUGGUAAAUAAGUCUUUUGUCCUUCAUGCUGUUUGGGUGUUUGAUGGACUGAAAUGGCCUGCUGGGACUUUGUAGGAUGAAACAGGGCUUGAACUGUAUGUUGUCUCUGAAGUGGUCCAUUGCUCACGAUAGCUUUAAUAUAUGUAGUGCUCGACCGAUGCUCAUUGUUGUCACUGUGUUGAGUCACAUUGCAGGAGGCCAUGAGGAGGUGAUUAACUAAUGGUGCUGGUGCUUUAAGAAGAGAAAUCCGGUCGGGGGAGCAGAGGUCCCUUCAAAGCUGCUGGACGCCUAUUAGGAGAUUAAACCAGCUGCCCUUCUUCAUGUCUCAGAGCCAGCCUGCCCAGCAGCAAGUAGCCUGAUGCCCAAUAGAGAAUGGUCAACACCACAUCAUACCUCCCAGACCAGGAAACCGAUGUGCAACCUCACAAAAUCAUCAGAGCUGAUUAAAGGCUGGAAUACACUACACAAAUCCUGUUCAAGCCUGCGAGUUUAUUGCAAUGCAUUGCUGAUGAGCACGGUGGAGUUGCAGGCAGAGCGACUCCAUCUCGCUCAGUAACACCAGACUCAACUGCCCCGAGCCAUCCUGCUCUGAGCUUGAACCAGGCAGGCCAGGCAGAACUGCACAGCCGGCCGAAGGAGAAGGGGAGCUCAGGGAGAGUGCACAGCAUGUUACCGGAGGGUCACUUUCAGACAAGAUAAAUAUGCAGACAAAUAGGUAGACACUUUCAUUUGUGUCUUGAUUUUAUGAAUUGGACAUUUAAAGCGUAAAUUGGUUUUGAUUUAGGACCAAUAUAGACCCAAGAGUUAAUGUCAUGCAACCUAUACAUAUUGGCAUUUUUAGCUUCUUCGUGAAUUUAUGACAAAUUACUAUAGUUUGACAAUACAGUAUUUUGGCAGUAAUUUGUGUUCUUAUAUAUUUUAAAGUUUGACGACCAAGAAUGCAUAAAUUUGUGCCAAAAAAAAAAAUACUGUUUGACAACAAAGGAUAAAGGAACAUGAAUAUGUGAGUUUUUAUUUAUUUUUUUACAAAAAAGAUUUUAAUGAU